rnacentral:rRNA from 1 species
AGACCCGAAACCCGGUGAUCUAGCCAUGGGCAGGUUGAAGGUUGGGUAACACUAACUGGAGGACCGAACCGACUAAUGUUGAAAAAUUAGCGGAUGACCUGUGGCUGGGGGUGAAAGGCCAAUCAAACCGGGAGAUAGCUGGUUCUCCCCGAAAGCUAUUUAGGUAGCGCCUCGUGAAUUCAUCUCCGGGGGUAGAGCACUGUUUCGGCUAGGGGGUCAUCCCGACUUACCAACCCGAUGCAAACUGCGAAUACCGGAGAAUGUUAUCACGGGAGACACACGGCGGGUGCUAACGUCCGUCGUGAAGAGGGAAACAACCCAGACCGCCAGCUAAGGUCCCAAAGUCAUGGUUAAGUGGGAAACGAUGUGGGAAGGCCCAGACAGCCAGGAUGUUGGCUUAGAAGCAGCCAUCAUUUAAAGAAAGCGUAAUAGCUCACUGGUCGAGUCGGCCUGCGCGGAAGAUGUAACGGGGCUAAACCAUG